CACCCUCUUUGUGGCCACGUUCAAGUGGACUGAGCGAGCUGCAAACGCCGUGUUAACGGCCACUCUUACGCUUUCAAACCGAGUAUCUCACGCAGGAAUUAGCGUUAAGGGAGUGUCCGUAAACGGCGUUUGCAGCUCGCUCAAGUCCAACUUGAACGGGGCCACAAAGAGGUGAUAUGCCCGUGUAGCAGCAUGCGGACGUCGUGGGGUCUCCUCAGAGUCGGUUUGCUUGAAGUGCAGACCUAAGUGGGUGGUAGACUCCAUCUAAGGCUAAAUAUGACCACAUGACCGAUAGCACACAAGUACCGUGAGGGAAAGGUGAAAAGAACUUUGAAGAGAGAGUUCAAGAGUACGUGAAACUGAGCUGAUGAAAGCGGACAGAAUCGAAAAGUGCGAACGGAUCUGACUCAGGUGAUCCUGGGGGGAGAGCCAUCGAGACAAAGCCUCGGAAACAUUCAGAACAGAGGGCCAUGCUCGUAACCCCGGGAGAAGCUGCACUUUGCUCAGUAGCAUGUCGCGGCUCGUUGGGAGGCCGGUCUAAGGCCCGCGGUGGAGUCUUCAUUUUCCUUCGGGAGAGUGUCGACCCGCGGUGUCCGGCCGGCGCCGACGGUGUUGUACGGACGGGGCCUCAUUCCGCGCGCAGACGCUCAGUUUGCAACGCGGCAAGGUCCCGUCGGUCUGCGGCACUUCUGCUUUCGAUCCCUGUUAACAUGUGCGCGAGUCAUUGGGCUUACGAAACCUAAAGGCGAAAUGAAAGUGAAGGAACGAGUUUACUUGUUCUCAGGGGUGAUGGCCGCGCUACCAUGCCGACCCGCAACCCCGGGGCGUCACAUUCUCUUUGAGAAGUGGUGCACCUUGAGCGUACAUGUUGGUACCCGAAAGAUGGUGACCUAUGCCUGGCCAGGGUGAAGCCAGGGGAAACCUGGUGGAGGCCCGCAGCAAUUCUGACGUGCAAAUCGAUUGUCAGAGCUGGGUAUAGGGGCGAAAGACUAAUCGAACCAUCUAGUAGCUGGUUCCACCUGAAGUUUCCCUCAGGAUAGCUGGCAUUCUAUAAGUCUCAUCUGGUAAAGCGAAUGAUUAGAGGCCUUGGGGUCGAAACGACUUCAACCUAUUCUCAAACUUUAAAUGGGUGAGAACUCUGGCUUGCUUCGGUGAAGCCACGAGUUCCUCGGAUUGUGAUUGCCUAGUGGGCCAUUUUGGUAAGCAGAACUGGCGCUGUGGGAUGAACCAAACGCGGAGUUAAAGCGCCUAAGACGACGCAGAUGGGAAACCAUGAAAGGCGUUGGUUGCUGAUGACAGCAGGACGGUGGCCAUGGAAGUUGGAAUCCGCUAAGGAGUGUGUAACAACUCACCUGCCGAAGCAACUAGCCCUGAAAAUGGAUGGCGCUGAAGCGUCGCGCUUAUACUCCGCCGUCAGUGCAAAUGGCCUUCGGGUUCUUGAAGCAUUGAUGAGUAAGGUGGUCGUGUGGGUGUGCGCAGAAGGGUCUGGGCGUGAGCCUGCCUGGAGCCGCCCAUAGUGCAGAUCUUGGUGGUAGUAGCAAAUACUCUGGAGAGUCCUUGGAGGACUGAUGUGGAGAAGGGCUCCGCGACAACAGUGCUUGUUCGCGAGUGAGCCGAUCCUAAGCCUAAAGAGAAAUCUUUAGUAAUGUCGAGCCUUUUGGUUCCAUUCGGGCGAAAGGGAAUCCUGUAAGCAUUCAGGGGCCCCGGUUCGGAACCGUAUCUCAGGUACUCUUACUUGUCACGGCGACGUGAAUUGCCCCAAAGACGCCCUCGGGUGCCACCAGGAGAGUUUUCUUUUCUCUUUGAGCUCGCGUACUCCAUGGAAUUCCUUAACGGAGAGAUAUGGAGCGGCUAUGCGAAGAGCGCCGCACUUGCUGCGGUGUUGGUGGUUACUCCUGGGACCUUGAAAAUUUGGGUGAGGGCCACGAGUGCAUCCGACCGGGAUCGUACCCAUUUCCGCAUCAGGUAUCCAAGGUCAAGAGCCUCUAGUCGAUGAACUAAUGUAGGUAAGGAAGUCGGCAAAAUGGAUCCGUAACUUCGGGAAAAGGAUUGGCUCUGAGGUCCUGGAUGUGCCAGGCUUGGAUGGAUGCUCUGCCAACUGCCUCUCUGAGAUAUCGGCGUGUAGCUCUGCCUUCGGGUGGACUGAAAGUCGGCCUGGGUGUGUGGGCGGCGGAGCGGAUGUCCCGGCUUUUAUGCAAUCAUGUGUAGUGGCCAUCGCUAAAAGGACAACUCAGAACUGGCACUGACCAGGGAAGUUCGACUGUCUAAUUAAAACAAAGCAUCGCGAAGGCCCUCGCUGGGUGUUGACGCGAUGAACUUCCACUGUCCCUAUCUACUCUUCAGCGAAACCGCAGGCAAGGGAACGGACUUGCAUAUAUCAGUGGGGAAAGAAGACCCUGUUGAGCUUGACUUUAGUUUGGCUGCGUACAACGACAUGAGAGGCGUAGCAUAAGUGGGAGGCCUUUGGUCGACAGUGAAAUACCACUACUUUCAUUGUUGUUGUACUUACUCAGUUGGGCGGAGGACGGCUCUCCGACAAGGAGUUCUGCCGAUCUUCUCGCACCAAGCAUUUGACGCGGACCGGGUGAGAUCGCACUUGUGCUUUCGACCCACCGCAUACCCAAGUGUGAUCCGAUCUGAGGACACAGCCAGGCGGGGAGUUUGACUGGGGCGGUACAUCCAUCAAAGAAUAACGUGGGUGUCCUAAGACCAGCUCAGCGAGGCCAGAAACCUCGCUUGGAGUAUAAGGGCAAAAGCUGGUUUGAUCCUGAUGUUCAGUAUGCACAGGGACGGCGAAAGCCAGGCCUUACGAUCCUUUUGGCUUGAAGAGUCUUCAGCAAGAGGUGUCAGAAAAGUUACCACAGGGAUAACUGGCUUGUGGCGGCCAAGCGUUCAUAGCGACGUCGCCUUUAAAUGUUGUUGCGAUAGUAAUCAACCAUAGUACGAGAGGAACUGGUUGUUCAGACCUCUGGUUCGUGCACUUGGUCGAGCGACCAGUGGUGCCACGCUACCAUCUGUUGGAUUAUGCCUGAAUGCCUCUAAGGCCGAAUCCGCGCUGGAACAUUGUUGGCAAUGAUACUUUCUGGGGGUCCUGUGUUUCGACCGGUGCGAAACAAUCAAUGUGAUUAUAUAGGUGGCCUCUCUUCGGAGAAGGCUGCCGUUGAAACCCGAACGCCAUGUCCGCUGGGGCGUACUGGCCCGAUAUGUCCUGUCUCGGAUAGGAGUCAGCCCCCAGUGGAAAGACCAAGGGUUUAGUACGAAGUUGGGACUCAGAAUCGUGUGUAAACGACUCAAGUAAGGCAGGGUGUUGUAAGCGGUAGAGCAGUUUUUAUGCUGCGAUCUGCUAAGACUUUUCCCUCUUGCUUUUGAAGAUUCGU